UGAGUGGCGAACUGGUGAGUAACACGUGGGAAACCUGCCCAGAAGCGGGGGAUAACACCUGGAAACAGAUGCUAAUACCGCAUAACAACUUGGACCGCAUGGUCCGAGUUUGAAAGAUGGCUUCGGCUAUCACUUCUGGAUGGUCCCGCGGCGUAUUAGCUAGAUGGUGAGGUAACGGCUCACCAUGGCAAUGAUACGUAGCCGACCUGAGAGGGUAAUCGGCCACAUUGGGACUGAGACACGGCCCAAACUCCUACGGGAGGCAGCAGUAGGGAAUCUUCCACAAUGGACGAAAGUCUGAUGGAGCAACGCCGCGUGAGUGAAGAAGGGUUUCGGCUCGUAAAACUCUGUUGUUAAAGAAGAACAUAUCUGAGAGUAACUGUUCAGGUAUUGACGGUAUUUAACCAGAAAGCCACGGCUAACUACGUGCCAGCAGCCGCGGUAAUACGUAGGUGGCAAGCGUUGUCCGGAUUUAUUGGGCGUAAAGCGAGCGCAGGCGGUUUUUUAAGUCUGAUGUGAAAGCCUUCGGCUCAACCGAAGAAGUGCAUCGGAAACUGGGAAACUUGAGUGCAGAAGAGGACAGUGGAACUCCAUGUGUAGCGGUGAAAUGCGUAGAUAUAUGGAAGAACACCAGUGGCGAAGGCGGCUGUCUGGUCUGUAACUGACGCUGAGGCUCGAAAGUAUGGGUAGCAAACAGGAUUAGAUACCCUGGUAGUCCAUACCGUAAACGAUGAAUGCUAAGUGUUGGAGGGUUUCCGCCCUUCAGUGCUGCAGCUA
rnacentral:rRNA from 2 species